UCACAAAAUAUCAGUUCGUAAAGAAAGUUAUACAGAGAAUGAAGAUAAACUUUUGUGUGAAGUUUAUAUGGAAAUUUCACAAUAUCCUAGAGUAGGGAUAUCACAAUCAGGACAACGAUUCUAGCAGCGCGUGGAAGAUGGAUUCAAUGAAGGUAGAGAUCAGACUUGGCCAGAGCGUACGCAAAGAUCUAUGCAGGCUCGUAUUCAAGCUAUCGAGAAAGCAACAAAAAAAUUCCAUGGAUGUAUCCGAGCUGCUGAAGCAAGAAACCGAAGCGGUGCUUCAAAUGCAGACAUAAUGAAUGAAGUCAUGCAAAUGCUCAAGACAGAUUCAAAUUACAAAUCGGGUUGGAAAUUUUCUCA